GGGGGCAGAGGGCCGCUAUGUGGGGGUGGAGGGCUGCUAUGUGGGGCGGAGGGCCGUGAUGUGGGGCAGAGGGCCGCUAUGUGGGGGCAGAGGGCCGCUAUGUGGGGCAGAGAGGCUGUGAUGUGGGGCAGAGGGCCGCUAUGGUGGGGCAGAGGGCCGCUAUGUGGGGCAGAGAGGUCAUGAUGUGGGGCAGAGGGCUGUGAUGUGGGGCAGAGAGGCCGUGAUGUGGGGCAGAGGGGUGCUCUGUGGGGCAGAGCCCAUAGUGUGAUGGGGUCCUGUGGUUGCGCCAUGGGGCAGAGCCCCACAUGGCGGAGGUUAUGGGGCAGAGCCCAUAGUGUGAUGGGGUCAGGUGGUUGCGCUAUGGGGCAGAGCCCCACGUGGGGGAGGUUAUGGGGCAGAGCCCCACAUUGUGGAGGUUAUGGGGCAGAGCUCAUAAUGUGAUGGGGUCCUGUGGUUGCGCUAUGGGGCAGAGCCCCACAUGGAGGAGGUUAUGGGGCAGAGCUCCUCAUAGGGGUCGUUAUGGGGCAGAGCCCCACAUGGAGGAGGUUAUGGGGCAGAGCCCAUAGUGUGAUGGGGUCCGGUGGUUGCGCUAUGGGGCAGCGCCCCACGUGGGGGAGGUUAUGGGGCAGAGCCCCACGUGGAGGGGGUUAUGGGGCAGAGUCCCACAUGGGGGAGGUUGUGGGGCAGAGCCCAUUGUGUGAUGGGGUCUGGUGGUUACGCUAUGGGGCAGAGCCCCACGUGAGGGAGGUUAUGGGGCAGAGCUCAUACUGUGAUGGUGUUCCGUGGUUGCGCUAUGGGGCAGAGGCCCACGUGGGGGAGGUUAUGGGGCAGAGGCCCACGUGGGGGAGGUUAUGGGGCAGAGCCCAUAGUGUGAUGGGGUCCUGUGGUUGCGCUAUGGGGCAGAGCCCCACAUGAGGGAGGUUAUGGGACAGAGCCCAUAGUGUGAUGGGGUCCGGUGGUUACACUAUGGGGCAGAGCCCCACAUGGAGGAGGUUAUGGGGCAGAGCCCCACAUGGGGGAGGUUAUGGGGCAGAGCCCCACGUGGGGGAGGUUAUGGGGCAGAGCUCCUCGUAGGAGAGGUUAUGGGGCAGACCCAGCGCUAUGGGGCAGUUGCAGCACUAUAGGGCAGACCCACUGCUAUGGGUCCCACCCUUUGCUAUGGGGCAGAUGCAGUGCUAUGGGGCAGACCCGGCACUAUAGGGCAGAUGCAACACCAUAGGGCAGACCCACUGCUAUGGGUCACACCCAGCGCUAUGGGGCAGACGCAGUGCUAUGGGGCAGAGGUAGCGCUAUGGGUCACACCCAUUGCUGUGGGGCAGAGGUAGCGCUAUGGGUCACACCCAGCGCUAUAGGGCAGAGGUAGCGCUAUGGGCCACACCCAUUGCUGUGGGGCAGAGGCAGCGCUAUGGGUCACACCCAGCGCUAUGGGGCAGACCCAGUGCUAUGGGGCAGGGGCAGCGCUAUGGGUCACCCCCGUUGCUGUGGGGCAGCGGCAACGCUAUGGGGCAGACCCAGUGCUAUGGGCCACACCCAGCGCUAUGGGGCAGACCCACUGCUAUGGGUCACACCCAGCGCUGUGGGGCAGACCCACUGCUAUGGGUCACACCUGGUGCUAUGGGGCAGACCCACUGCUAUGGGUCACACCCAGCACUAUGGGUCACACCUGGUGCUAUGGGGCAGAGGCGGCGCUAUGGGUCACAUCUGGUGCUAUGGGGCAGAGGCGGCGCUAUGGGUCACAGCCAUUGCUGUGGGGCAGACCCGGUGCUAUGGGGCAGAGCCAGCACUAUAGGGCUGAUGCAGCACUAUAGGGCAGACCCACUGCUAUGGGUCACACCCGGCGCUAUGGGUCACACCUGGUGCUAUGGGGCAGAGGCGGUGCUAUGGGUCACAGCCAUUGCUGUGGGGCAGACGCAGUGCUAUGGGGCAGAUCCAGCACUAUAGGGCAGACCCAGUGCUAUGGGGCAGACCCACUGCUAUGGGUCACACCCGGCGCUAUGGGGCAGACCCGUUGCUGUGGGGCAGAGGCAAUGCUAUGGUGCAGACCCACUGCUAUGGGUCACACCCAGCGCUAUGGGGCAGACCCACUGCUAUGGGUCACACCUGGCGCUAUGGGGCAGACCCGGUGCUGUGGGGCAGAGGCGGCGCUAUGGGGCAGACCCACUGCUAUGGGUCACACCCGGUGCUAUGGGGCAGACCCGGUGCUGUGGGGCAGAGGCAAUGCUAUGGUGCAGACCCACUGCUAUGGGUCACACCCAGCGCUAUGGGGCAGACCCACUGCUAUGGGGCAGACCCGUUGCUGUGGGGCAGAG
ensembl:lncRNA